AAAUCCAGCCAAGUUAAAGUCAGUGGCCAGAAAGCCUUCGGUGAAUAAAGUGUUGUGAUUUUCGCUCGUGGAAAAUCUCCACCCGCGUCUCCCCGAGCUUGCAGACUCCCUCCUUUUUGAGUGCGUUUGCUUGACCUUUAUUGAAAAUUGAACACUCAAACUCCGUAAGGACAGAUCUCAUUGUUCUCUGCCACGCAACUAUUCCCCAUACCCCUAGAAUUUUGUGUUUCUUUUUUUUUUUUUUGUUCUCUCCGUGUUAACAUUACUUUGUGAGGAUUCUAUACAUAUAUAUAUAUAUACAGUGAUUGCUGCUGCACAGCUGAGUGAAUGCGACAAAGAAAAAGAGAGAGUGAGUAAACCGAAUAACGUGGUGAACCUAACCUAUAAAAAGUGUUUCGCGAUAAUGAGAAGAUAAAAAGUGACUGAAAUAAAAAUUAAACGACUUGACUUCUCUUUCCCCUUAUAUACGUGAAUCUUUAAAAUACGUAUAUUUCUUUAUGAGGGCAGUGUCAAAGUGAAACGGAAUAAAAAGAAAAUUCAUGAUUUUUGUUGUGUGAUGCCAAUUGAGAAGGAGGACAUUGCUCCUUUCGGCAAUGAUAAGCGAGUGGAGCAGACGACAUCGAAGUAAACGAGUUUCUUGAGGGCUGGCACACGCGAUGCUGGAAAGAGAAGGUCGACAAGAAGGAAGGAAAAUGUUUCAAGAGUAAUAAAAAGAAAAAAAAAGGGGUAACAAAGCGUCAAGUGCACGUGGGCCUUAUGAAGACCAAUAUAAUAGGGAUCAGUUUUUAGUUAAUUGAAUUUGUGUAUGUGUGUGUUUGUGUUCUUGUUUUGUUGAGAAAGUUAAAAGAAGCUAGAGAUUUCGGGUUUGAGUUGCGUCGACGUUUACAAGAAGUGAAUAAAAGCAAGAGAAAAACGGGUCGCGUUUGGGAAAAAAAAAAAAAAAAGUUUUUGAAAAGUGAACGAAAGUGAAGUUUCGAGUUAAUUUUUUGAGGUUUUUGGUGGUAGGAAGCGAGACGAAGUGAGUUAAAUAGAAAGAGAGGAGAAGAUUGGUGGCCAGUGCUUAGGGGGGGCCUUAGGGAGGAUUUGAUGGCAGUAGUGGGGCCAAGUCGGCACUCGCGAGUGUCCAUGAGUGUGUCUAUGUCGCUGAUGCAGGGCGGCGGGGCGGGGGCGUCUGGUGGUGGGGCAACGGGGGCCCACCCGGGUCAAGCGGUAUUGGCAGCCGCUGCAGCAGCGGCUGCGGCCCAGGCGCCCCCCACCUACUAUCAUCCAGCGGCCCCAGCACCCCCUCCACCGGCCCAGGAUCCCGUCCAACCUGACCGACCCAUCGGCUACGGGGCCUUCGGAGUUGUCUGGGCUGUUACGGAUCCCAGAGAUGGUAGGAGGGUAGCGUUGAAGAAAUUACCAAAUGUCUUUCAAAGUCUGGUCAGCAGUAAAAGGGUUUUUAGAGAGUUAAAGAUGCUCUGCUUCUUCAAACACGAAAAUGUCCUUUCUGCACUGGAUAUAUUGCAGCCGCCACAUCUGGACUUCUUCCAGGAAAUAUAUGUCAUUACGGAGCUUCUUCAAAGUGAUUUGCACAAAAUCAUCGUCAGUCCACAGCAUCUUAGUCCUGACCACAUCAAGGUCUUCCUCUAUCAAAUUCUUCGAGGUCUGAAAUAUCUUCACUCUGCGAGGAUUCUCCAUAGGGACAUUAAACCUGGGAACCUUUUAGUAAAUAGUAAUUGUGUCCUAAAGAUCUGUGAUUUUGGACUGGCGAGAGUUGAAGAACCAGACCAAACGAAACACAUGACCCAGGAGGUAGUGACGCAGUAUUAUCGAGCACCGGAAAUUUUAAUGGGUGCACGACAUUACACGGCUGCAGUUGAUGUGUGGAGUGUCGGUUGUAUUUUCGGUGAACUUCUACAAAGAAGAAUUCUUUUCCAAGCUCAAAGUCCCGUGUUGCAGUUGGAGCUGAUCACGGAAUUGCUGGGAACGCCAACCCUCGAGGAUAUGAGGUACGCCUGUGAGGGAGCCAGAACUCAUAUGUUGAGACGCGCCCCUAAACCUUCCUCGCUCACGGCUCUUUACACCCUCAGCAGCCAAGCGACGCACGAGGCCGUACAUUUGCUUUGCCAGAUGCUAGUCUUCGAUCCCGACAAAAGGAUCACGGUGGUGGACGCUUUGGCUCAUCCGUAUCUAGACGAAGGAAGACUGAGAUAUCAUUCGUGUAUGUGCACGUGUUGUUACACAACGAGUGCUGGUAUGAGGCAGUACACAGGGGACUUUGAGCCAGCAACGUCGCAUCCUUUUGAUGAUUUCUGGGAGCGAAAGCUCACGAGCGUGCAUCAGGUGAAAGAGGAAAUGCACAAAUUUAUUGCGGAGCAACUUAAUACGUCGCGCGUACCACUCUGUAUAAAUCCGCAGUCCGCGGCAUUCAAGAAUUUUGCAAGUUAGAGCAAGACAUCCGCCAUCCCAGCACCGUGCGCCGCGUAUAUGUACACAUUGCCACUACCGAAUCAGCUAUCUGCCACUGUCAGCUACUACUACUAUCGUCUACUACUACUACUACUACUACCGAUCGUUACGUCUCCUCCUGAAAGAAACCGAUUGACCGAGAAACAGCUAUAAGUCGGCACAACCUCGCUAAGAGCUCAACAGUGGCGCAUCCUUCGGAAUUGCCACCGUCUCCCCAUCAAUGGGAAUAAAAGCUUCUUCGAGUUGGACACGAAUCGUCUUUUGCAGUCUUCUUGUUCCAAAAGCGAAUCUUGGACGUCGACGCGCACACAAAAAAAAAGUUUUUGGACGACUCAAGAAAAAAAAAAAAAAUAUAUAUAUAUAUAUAUAAAAAACUGUGAAGAAUAAGCCAAGAGAGACAAUAGACUGCCGAGCAAUGUAGCCUGAAAAUUUUUCGACUAGCUGAUUUAAAAAAAAAAAACACGAAUUUUAGGAGAGAAACGUAGCUAAUUAAAUAUGCAAUUUGCCGAAAAAAAACUACAAUGCAAAAAAAAAAAAAAAAAAAAAAUAGACAAUUACAUAAAAUAGGGAAUAUUUUCGAGAGACAUAAGCGAGAGGCUGAAUGAUUAGUUGAUAAGGGGAAACAAUGGAAAAAAGGGAGAGAAAUACGAGAAAAUCUCGACAGUGAGAGGGCCAGUUUUUUAGAUUUACUUUUUUUUUUUUUUUUUAUUUUUAUUUUUAUUUUUGUAAAUCACAAAGACGGCUGGCAUUUAAUGACUGUGAGUACUAAAGGUGGAUAUGCCUGGUACACCUUGACAAUUAUCUUUCUAUUAUUUAAAUCGAAUUGAUAGUGAUUCGAAAAUAUUUUUUUUUUUGGUAAAUAAUUUUUUCUUUCCUUUUCUUUUUAGAGAAAAGGAACACAGCGAGUUUAAUAAUUAUUAUUAUUAUAUCGCUUGCCUGAUGUGUUUAUAAUGUAAUUAACAAACAAAAGAAAAAAAAAAACUCCACUGAUCUUAAUUGCAUACGUCAAAUAUUAAGACUACUGUAGUUAGAAUUGUAAUCUAUAAGGAAGAACAAUCUGUAAUUAAAUCAAUUGAAUUGUAAUUUAAUCAACUUUCCACGACAGUGGCGAACGAGGCCAAGUAAUUAUAUUCUAAGAAGCACGUAUUCGUGUUGAUCUUAAUACAAAACGAAAAAAAAAAAAUGAUACAUUGUGUACAUUAUGAAACCAAGUAGGUCCAUCAUUUUUUUUUUUUUUUACGAUUUUUAAAAAGGGAAUUUGAGGACAAAUAUCCAAUUGUAAUUUGCUAAAAAUUGAUUGACUCUUUAAAAAAAAAAAAAAAUUCCUAACUUCAAUUACAUUUCUGAAUAAUUAUUUUUAUUCACAAUUUUGUAUUUGCAAUAAUAAUAAGCCCUUGUAAAAAAAACAGAAGAAUUAUUAAAUAUAAUUCUAUAAGAAAAAGUGAAUCAAUAAAAUUAAUUUGAUUCUAAAAGAUGAAGAAAAAAUAAUUGACGAUUUUUUUUAUAAAUAAUAAAUAAAUUUAAAUUAAAAAAUAAAUAAUUGGAGAAUUAAAUUUUUUAAAUUUAAAAGCAAGAAAAAUGUCCAAUUGAUUUGCAUGUUAAAUAAUUAAUACUCAAAAUUUACUUGACAUUGACAUAUAAUUUUAAUGAGAAAAAAAAAACAAUGAAUUUACAGAAUUUUUAGAAAAAAAAAAGAAAGAAACUCAACUUUGAGUAUGUUAAUAAAAAUUGUUUAAAAUCUAAAUUAUUAAUUUACAUUAAAUAAUUUAUUUAAAUUUUAACUAUUAGACGAAUAUUAAUUUCUCAACUGACAAAAAAUUAUUUCCAUUUUUGAAAUGUAAUUGAAGUCAGAAAUUGUGGGAAAUUUGUAAAUUUUUGAUUACAAUUAAGAUAAAUAGUAAUUUAUCAAUAUAAUAUGUAUUAUACUAAUGAAUGACUAUUAUUAUUUAAAAUAAGGGCAAAAUGUAAAAAAUGAGGGGGAUAAGAAUUGAAAAAAAAAAAAAUCAUUGAUAUUGUACAAAAUAAGCCGAUGGACAUUCGACAAAAUAAAUAAUUAAAGGCUGUAUUCUUAUUUGAAUGCAAUUACCGUUUUUUUUUUCGCAAUUUUGUGAACGACUAGAUAAGGAUAUUAUGCGGCCUUCCAAUUAAUGAACGAUUUCAAAGUAAAGCACUGCCGAACGUUUAAAAUGUGAUUUUAGAUUAAUUUUUUUAUGUCGUGCAAUAUCAGAUUUUAAAAGAAUUAAGCAAAAAAAAAAGUUUUUUUCUUGUUUUUGGUUAAAUUAACAAAUAAUUCUGUUUUCCAGUGACAACUUUUUGUUGAAAAAAUGGGAUUUAAUAUUAAAUUUCAAUUCAAUAACAUAAUUAUUCAAUUAAUUAAAUUACAACUUUCUUUUUAUUUCUAUUAAUAACUCUUGAAAAUUGAAAUUACGUGAAAGAACUCAAAAAAAAAAAAACAAACAAAAUGUGUUCUAAAUAACAUUGUGAUUAUUUCUAGAUAAUAAUCUAGAAAUUUGUGUUUCGCGCAGCUUUGCUUUACUUUGAAUCCUAAGGGGGAACCUUAAUCUAUGAAAACUUAGAACAAUUUUUAUUUAGUAAUUGAAUUUAAAAAUCCUUACUAUAGGAACGUGCAAUUCCUAUUUAAAAAAAAAAAAUAAUAAUAAAUCAAGUCGAGGACGAUAGUAAAAGUCAAAUUUUUUGACAAAAAAAACACUGCCGUUAAAUAAAAAAUAAAAAAAAAAUAUAUAAGAAAAUUUAUCGCAAUGAUUUGGCAAAUUUAAACAAACAAAAAAAAAAAGAAAAAAAAACAUUAAUUUAAGAAGAAAAAUGAAAAAUCGGUUGUCGACUUAAUAAUAAUGAUAAUAAUUAAGGGACUUUUUUUUCCUUCAUAAUAUUGUAAUAUGAAAAUCGAAAUUUCUUUGAUUUUUAAUUAUAGUCCAACAUUGGAACGAACUGUAGAUAUAUACAUAUAUAUUUUUACUUUCUGAGUGUGAUUUUAGAUUAAUUUUUAUUAUUUAAGAAGUCAUCGAGUUAAUUGCAAGAGUGUAUAAUUUUUGUAAUUAAUAGAUAGAUAGAAAUUUAAGUUUAAUUUGGUCUCAUCAUUUUUUUGAUUUCAUGUAUAUGAAACCCAUCCGCAUCCGCCAAUUUUAAGUAUAAUUUUUACAAUCCCCCUGGGAUUUAUAACGCCAGUAAAUAAAUUGAAAAAAAAAAAUCAAAUUAUUUUCAAAUAUUAAACUCUAAACGUUUUUUUUUCACAUAAAUAUCAUUUAUUUGACUCGAAUAAUAAUUAUUCAAAUAAAUAUUUAUAAUUCGUUACAAAAAAAAACAAAUUUAUUUAGUUUAAAUGAAUAACGGAUUAUUUUACGCAAAUGUAUAUAUAUUUGUUAAUAUAUGAGUUUUAAUUUCAUGAACAGAAAAAAAUAAAAGCGGGUCACAUGUACAAUAAUAUUAUUAAUAAUAGAAAUAAUAAUAAUAAUUAUGAUAGUAAUAAUAAUAUUAAUAAUUAAUAAUAAUAAUAAUAAUUUGCGGAUGGGUUCAUCUUUUAUUUUACGUACAGCAAGGCUCAAGAGAUCGCCGUUAAUAUUUUUUCGGCUCGAUUUAUUAAUAAAUCUAAGUUUAAAUGAAUUUAUUGUUUUAAGUAAUUUUUUUUUUUCUAUUUUUUAAGAAUGGUUUGAACAAAGUAAUAACUAAAAGAAAUCACGUGCGAAAUUACAGGGAGAAAAAAGUGGUUUUUUUUUUUUUUUUUUUUUCUUGAGAAAUAUCACACGCACAUGUUAUUCAAAAAAAUUAAUUUCUUGUAUUGUGACGAAAUUAUAUUUUUCAAAAAAAAAAAAAAAAAAUUUGCCAAUUAAGCGACAUUAUUAAAUUUGUAAAUAAUUUAAUUAACGCUUCUUGUAAUUAAAAAUUGUACAAUAAUUCAUCAAAAUUUACUCUUUUAUUUAUAAAAUUUUACUAUUUUUGUCAAAUUAUAAUUGUGAAAAAAAAUGACAAUUAUUCAGAAAAUUUGGAGAAAAAAUUUUUGUUUUUAAUUUUAUUGACUUGCAAAAAAAUUUGGUCAUUAGGUAAAAAUAAAUAAUUGGAAAAUUCUGUAAAUUUAUAUUUUAGAUUAAACAAAAUUGAUGGGAAAAAAAAUAAAUGUUUCUUUUUCUCAACAAAAAAUUUCAAUCCAUGACGAUUCGUUAAUUUAAGAAUUAAAAAAAAAAAAUGGAAAACAAUAGGUAAAAAUAAACAUUAAAAAAAUAUAUAUAUAUAUAUUAUAGGCAUGAUGUGACUAACGGCCUCCAAAUUUGAAAAGAAUUCUCAAAGUUUUUUUUUUUUUUUUUUGCCAAAACAAAAAUUAUCAUUGUUAUUUUUAAAAUUCUUUUUUGUUUCUAAAAUGCAAGGCUAAUUGGAUUGAGAUUGAAAUUAAUUGAAUGAACGAAACUUCUUUAACAGAAAAAUGAAGAAAAAAGGAAAAAAGAGAUGAGAGUUAAAAAAAAAAAAAUGUUUUUCAUGCUGCUACUUCUGUCAAGUUUCGUCCAUAAAAUGUAAAUUGUACAUUUCGUAAAUAUUACAAAUGGGAUUUCAAAAAAUAAUAAUAAUAAUAAUAAUAAUAAUAAUAAUGUAAAGAAGUUGCAGUUAGAGAAACUCGCGAAUCAGUGAGACAAAGUGUAUAAAAAAAAAGUACAAUUAAAAAUGAGUAAGAUGGGAGGAAAAAAAAGGGAGGAAAAUGGGAACGUGACUUUCUAUACAAGGAGUUUUGUAAAUAAUCCAUCAGCCAGUAAGCGUUACCCUCUCCUAUUGAUAGCCAGCAAAAGCUGCCGUUACAAUAAUAUUAGUAAUAAUAUUAGUAAUAAUAAAAUAAUAAUAAUUAUAAAAACAUUAUUAAUAUUAAUGAAAAUAGUAAUAAUAAAAAUAUUAAUAAUAAUAUUAAUAAUAUUAAUAUUAAUAAUAAUAAUAAUAUUAAUAAUAAUAAUAAUAAUAUGAAUAAUAAUAAUGGUAAUAAUAUUAUUAAUGAAAAACAUAGUAAUAAUAAUAAUUCGAUAAUUAGGAUUUAGACUUUCUUUCUCCCUGUAAGAUAAUCGCAUGCGAUAAUUCGUGGGGUGAAGAGUAAUUAUUUUUUUGGAAUCAUUAAAUAUUUUGCUCUACUUGCGUGUAAAUAUGUAAUUGUAGUUUUCAAAAAAAAAUUAAAUUUUUUCAUAAGUUUCCUUUUUUUUAAAUUUAGAAACAUUUUUUUUUUCUUACCUUAUUUUUUACCUCUUCACUUCACGAUGAGAUUCACAUCUUUCGCAGAUCUCAUUGUAUUAUAUAAAUAUGUACUUCAAUUUCCAAAACUAACUUUCGAGAAAAAAACCAAUAAUUCUUUUUUUUUAUAUAAAUAAAAAAAUAUUUUACAAAAUAAAAAGAAAAUACUUUUUUAAUUAAUAAAAAAAGUUAUAAGCCAAGUUUUGUGAAAUUGAAUCGGUUCUUUUUAAUUGCAAAUUAUUUUUUUUUUUGUACGAAAAUUACCGAUGAUAGUUAAGUUAAUUAAUGAAAUUAAUUGUAAAAUGAAUGUGUCAAAGAGAGUGAGUGAAAGAGAAAUUAUGUUUUCCUAUUAUUAAUAAUAAUAAUUAUAAAAAAAAAAGAAAAAAAAAAAAAAAAACAAUGAUACUUAACAAUGUGGCUUGUAAAUAUUGUAGCUCACUGUAGCUGGUCAGUCGGGCAUUUUAAAGACACAUACACAUAUUAAAUUUUGAAAAUUGAGAAAAAAGUUAUCACAACUACGAAACAAAAAAGUGUAACUGAAAAAUUAUUUUUUUUUUUUUUGCUUAUUAUUGUAACACAAAAUUUUAUGCGAUUAAAAAACAAAAUAAUAUGAGAAAAAGAUAUGCACUAUCAAUUUUGUAGUUUGCAUUUUUAAUAAAUCGAGGAAAAUUAUGUGGAGGCUAUAAGUAAUUUGUAACUACGAUAUUAUAAUUAUGAAUUUAAAAAAGAAGAAAAAAAAAAAAAAAACAAAUAUACUCCACGAUAGUAAUAUUAUUGCCUUCAAUUAUGAAAAAAAAGCGGCUGGCACAAGAAGCACCAAACAAUAAAGAUGCUGAAAUAAAUUUAAAAAAAAAAAAAAAAAAGAAGGAAAUGCAGUAUUUUCUAUAUUAUUUGCAGUUUUUUUUUUCGUUUGCGCACAUAUCCAUCUAUCCAUGUCCUUUUUUUAAUUUUCCCUACUUUUUUUUUUUAUAGAAAUAUUAUGGAAUUAUUUAUUAUUAUUAUUAUUAUUAUUUAUAUUAUGAAAAGAAAGUUAUUAUAAUUUCAGUGGAUUUUUUUUUUAAGCAAAAUUUAUUUUUUAAUUUCGAAGAUUGAGGUUCCAUUUUUUAAUUUAAAAUAACUGUACUUAAUUGAAGAAUAUUUAAGACGAGUACUUAAAUUAAAAAAAAAAACAACAAAUUUUUAUCUAUUGUUUUUGCUUUUUUUCUCACUGCAAAGCAAUUUUCUUUGUGAGAAAUUUGAAAUUCAAAAUGAAAUAUUUGCUUGUGAAAUCCAUUUGUACAGUAAAAAUUUUGACGUUUUAGCGAUAUAUGUAUAUAUCAAAUUAUAAUAUAUAUAUAUAUGUAUAGAGCAUAUUGAAAAAGCUUGAAACAAAAAUUUUUUUCUUGGUACUUUUUCAAAAAAAAAUUGUGCGUCGCGAGCUGAAAACUGUAAGGGGAUAAUCUAUCAAAAAAAAAAAAAAAAAUUCAGCGAUACUUGUCCCAAAUUUUUUUUUUUUUUUUUCUAUAAAGGGACCUAAUUAUAUCAGGUAAAUUUGGUUUGGUUAUAACAUAAUUUUCGUUAUAGCACUCUCUGUGAUUAAUCGAAAAUAUUUCUAAUAGAAGAAAAAAGAAAUAGAUAACCAGAAAGGCAUUAUUGGAUAGAAUUACAUAUAUAAAAAAAAGAAAUGAAAAAAAAAAAAAAAAAAAAUUUAAGUGUAGAGCAAUAGAUAGAAUUGCAAACAAUGUUUCAAAUAUAAAACUGUAAAUAAGUGCACUUUUUUUUAUACAAAUGCUCAUUUUGGUAAAGAAAAAAAGAAAGAAUAAGUCAAACCCUAGAUUCUCAGCCUGCGACAUUAUUGUAUAUAAUAUAAUGCGGGAUGAUUUUCAAUUGACAGUGAUAUCAUUAAUAAAUGUAAUAAUAAUUGUAUAUAAAUGUAUAUUAUCUUAAAAAAAAAAGAAAAAAAAAAUUGUACCGAUCUUAAUUAAUUUUCCAAUAUUAAUGAAUUCAUCGUCAAAAAAUAUAUGUCGCUUUGAUAUAUAUAUAUAUUGUAGAAAAUAGCGGUCAAAGUAAAGUGUGAUGACCUGUCGUUAGAAACUAAGAGGCCUUAAUAUAACACAUUUAUAUGAUAUACAAUUUAUGAUUAUAUGUGUGUAAAAAAAUACGUAAAAAAAAAUUUUGUGCUUUAUAAAUAUGUGCAUAAAAAUUUUCAAUAAAAAUGUCUACUUCAUUUUUUUUUUUUAUAUAUUCACAUCAUAUUCAAAUUAUUGACUUAAAAAUUGAAUUAAAUUAAUUAAAAAAAUUAUUAUAAAAUAUAAUUUUUAAGAUAAUAUAUGUGUGAUUAUAAAUACUAAUAAUGAAGUAGAAUAAUUAGAUAUGUACAGAUUAAUAGUUUAUUUGUAAAUUUGAAAGUAGUGAGCACUCUAUUUUUUUUUCAAUUGAAAUAUUAAUAAUUUGCAAUUAGUGGUUUCUUUUUUCUUUGCAAAAAAAAAAAAAAUGAAAUUAAAUAUAAUUUUUCUCUUAUAACUAUAAUUUUAAUUAUAAUUCUAAUUUUUAUAUAUAAUUCAGUAAAAAUUAAUUUAAUUAUAAAUAAUCCAUUAUAAUUUUGAUUUUUAAAAAAUUUAUUUUGUCUAAAAAAAAAAUAAGAAACUUAUUUUUUUAAAAAAAGCUUUUUACUAGCACUGACAAUUUUUUUUUAUACACACAAAAUUCUAAUAUAAAAUCAAUAUUUAAUAAAAAUUGAUGAUAUUUAAAAAAAAAUCUAUCAUUACAAAAAAAAGUUAUUCCUUAUAACAAUUAAAUUUAAUAACGUUUAAUCAUCAUAUAUAGUUCGAAAACUCUUGUCUCGUUAGCGAUUUUAUAAAAUAUAAUAAAAAAUUAAAUAAAAAUUCGAUUUUUUAAAAAAUAUUUUUUUUUUGUAAUAUAACAAUAAAAAUGUGGUAAAUUAGAAAUGAGGUAAAAUUUCGUAUUGUUAUAUGGCAAACUGAUAAUGUAAAGAGCACAUAAUUUAAAAAAAAUUUUCGUUUAAAUUUAUUACAAAAAAAAAAAAAAAAAAAAAAAAAAAAUUAUCGCAAGUAGAUCAACGAGCUACCGUAUAGGAAAUUAGUAGAGUGACUCGAUAAAUUUAUCUUUUUUCACCACUUUGUCACUCUUUAUUAAUAUUACGUUAACUGAUAAAAAUUCUUGUUGUAAAUAUAAAACAAAAUUUCGAAAAAAAAAAAUCCUAGAAAAAAGAAAUUAGAUUUCCUCUCCAUAUAAAAAUGAAGCAUAGUCUCUCCUUUUAUUUGUAAUUGAUUGAAAAAAAAAAAUUGAAAAAAAAUUUGAAUGAUUUAAUAAAAAAAAAUUUUAAUAUGAAGCAUUUAAAAAAAAUCAUAAUUUCUUAAAAAAAAGAAAAUUCAGAAAUUAUUUUACUCUAAGAGGAAAAAAAAAAAUUUCUUUAAAAUAUGAAAUUAAUUUUUUCUAGGUAUAUAUAAAAAACAAUAAUAAAAAUAAUUUAUCAUAUUGGUAUGAAUGUAAAUUUUUUUCUUUUUUUAAUUGUAAAAUAAUCUCAAAAAAUAAUGCGUACCUUGAAAGUAGCCGAAGCCUUUUUCGCGAGUAGAUUAUUAUUAAUAAAUAUUAGUCAUUGAAAAAAAUUGAAUCGUAACAGAAAACUGUGUUUAAAAAAAAAAAAAAAUAGUGACUUUGUCGAAAAAAAACUUGGCACAAACACCUCAAAAUAGAUAAUGUUGCAAAUAAUUGCUGUAGAUUAUCUAUUAUAAUAUAAUAUUCGUAUAUAAUAUUAUAAUAGCGAUUUAAGCCUUAACUAAUUUUACAAAGUGAAUUUAAUCGUUUUUACGAUAUAUUCACUAAAUUGUAUUAUAAAAUAUUUAAUGACGAUAAUAAUUAUAAGAAUAAUAUUGAGAAAAUUAAUUAUAUAGAUAUCUACCAAAAUAUAUAUAUAUAUAUUAAUUAAUUGAUAAUUAUAGAUGGUAGAUCUAAGUUCAGACAUUAAUAAUUAAGAAUCUCAAAUACUGUAAAUAAAAAAGUAUAUAAUCAGAAAAAAUAUUAUAUAUUCUAAAUCGUGUCUACGUAUAGAAUUUUUUCUAUAUAAAAUAAAAUAUGUCGGCUUUAAAAAAAAUAUACUACUCUCUGUUAAUUGAAAUUAAAUCGCAAUUUUCUCAUUCCUAAAAUUUUAACUAAUUUAGUAUGUUAUUAAAAAAAAAAACUGAAUAAUUUCAUUUCGAGAUUUACAUGUGAGAAUUAUAUUUUUCAAUUCAAACAAAAAAAAAUUUUUUUUUUUUAUACUAAAAGAUCAAUUUUUGGUAAUGAUUAAUUAUUAUUAUUUUUAUAUAUAAAAUUUUUAUUAAUAAUUAUUUGUUUAAAAAAUCAAUUAAAAAAAAUGAAAAAUAAUUAAAAUCUUACAAUUGUAAAUCUUGAUGUGAAUAAUUUCAUGUUUAGAUAAUAAUGUAAGGAAACAUUUCUUCUGCAUCGUGAAAAAUUUCGAAAACUGGACCAAUUUUUUUUUUGUUUUUUUUUUUUUUUUGUCUAUUGUGUAAAUAAUGAGAUUUUUCAAAUUAAUUCAUUUUGACUGGCAACACGUAAAGGAUGCAGAAGAAAAAAAAAAUACAAGUUCGACUUGAUGUUCUGUGUGUCUAAUUAAAAUUAGUGCUUAGUGUAAAUUUAAAAAUUCAUUUUUGUAUAUCACCCCUUUAAAAAAAUAUCUUAUUUUUUUAAUUAAAUAAAAUUUUUUAUUAAAAUUAGAUUUCAUUAGUUUUUCAAAAUUUUUAAUUCAAUAUUAUUUUUUUCUCUAGAACAAAAAAAAAUCUAAUUUUGUAAUUUCUUAAAAAAUCAUAUUAAUCCUUUAUUUGAAUAUGAACUAUUUAAUUAUUAAAUAUAUUUUAUUUGUAAAAAUGUCUUCCUCGAUAAUAAAUAUUAAAUUGAAAAAAUAUAUGAGACCCCACAUAUAUAAAUAAAGAAGUUUUCUUAUAUAUACAUAUAUUAAAAAAGGAUUAAUUUUAUCGCGUAACUGUACAGUUUACAAUUAAUAUAAAUUAAAUAAAAUUACAAUUAUAAAUGAGGAAUUUGUGAACAAAGCCUUAAAAAUGAACGUUUUUGUGUUUUACGAUACAAGAGACAGAAAAUUCAAUUCUUUUUUAUAAAAAAAAAAAGAAAUUCGUUUUUUUUCAAAUUUCUAACGUUUGAGGCAAAUCAGGUUGUAUAAUUAAUAUUAGAACGAAAAAAAAAUUGUAAAUAGUCAAUUGUAAUAUAAUUGUUCUCGAUGCCUACUCCUAAUGGUCGUAGUUCAGCAAAAAAAAAAAAAAAAAAAAAGGAAAUAUAUUAUAAAAAAAUAUAAAUAUAUAACAAAACUUAAUCAAUUCUAUGUGUCGGUUUUGAUUAAAAAAAAAUAUAUAUAUAUAUAUAUAUAUACGUAUAGAUUUUUUAUCAAUCUUUACUAUAUAUGUGUAAAAUGCGUAUAGUUGUAUAACUAAAAAAAAAUCGAUUUUAAAUUUCCGGAUAUUUUUCAUUUAGUCGCAAUACUUGUAAAUAUUGAAAAAAAAAAAUUUAAAUAAAUUUUUUUCCAUUUUAAUUAAACAAAUAUAUAUAUAAAAUACUGGGAAUUUAAUAGUGAUUUUUUUUUUUUUUUCAUAUAUUGUAGAUUCAAUUGUGUCUUUCACCUUUACGUAGGUCUUUUAACUCGAUUUACAAACACCAAUCGUUUCCUUUAUCGGAAUAAAAAAAAAGUAUUAAUUUAUAUAUUAAAAAUUAAUUAAUUUUUAAAUUCUUCCAAUUUAUAAUUUAAUUAUUUUUUCAGAGCAAAAAAAAAAAUUUUUAAUUCGGAACAAAAUCGAAAAAACUAUCAUCGAUUACGAUUCAGGAAACGAUUGGAUGAUUCAUAAAAAAAAAUGUCGUGCACGUCGUCGAUGUGUUUACACUAUUGAGUGUUUGAAUUUCAAAGGGUGAAAUUGUGUAAAAUUGGAAUUUAAAAAAAAAAGCAAAAAUAAAUAUUUUCCAUAUUCGUAAAAUGUCAAAAAAAAAAAAAAUGAAUUUUCGACUCCAAGAUAGAAUAGUCAUUAAAGCGAAAUUUUAUUCACUUUGGCAUCUUUAAUAAAAUUAUUAAAAAAAAAAAAAUUAAAAAAAUUUUUGUUUCAAAAAGAAAACUAUUUACAACUUCUUUGAAAUUAGAAAAAAAAAACUAUACAAACAAAUUUGUUAUGAAGAGAAAGUAUAUAAAUAGUGAAAAAAAAAAAAAUUGAAAAUGGCAAAGAAAUUCAAGAAAAUCCGACAUAAUAAAGUAUAAUAGAAUUUUUCAAGACUGGCAAUCAAAAUAAUAUAAAAAUAUAAGAUUUAUCUAAAAAAUUUCGUGACAAUUUGUUAUGAUAGGACAUUGAAAAUUACAUCUCUUAUCUUCUGUGAAAUAUGUGCUACUAUGUUUAAAUUAUAAUAUAGAAAAAUAUAAGUGUAAUAUAUAUAUAUAUAUAUAAUCAUUUAUUAAAAUGAAAAAACGUAUAGAAUAAAAAAAUAUUAUAUUAUAAUUACUUAAAAAUUGUAUAAGACAAGAGAUGUAAUAAUCCAUGUCUAUCAAUAAAAUGAAGAAUAUAACCUUUUAAAAAAAAUUAUAAAAUACAAACAUAAUAAUAAUAUAUUACUAUAUUAUAUCACUAUUACCACUAAUUACAAUAAUAAUAAAAAUAAUAAUAAUAUUGAUUAAUAACAAUUAUUAAAAAUUCUUAAUUAUUCCUCAUUUUCGCAAAGAAAUAAAUUAAUCAACAUAAAAUUUUUUUAUUCUUCGUCAAAUUGUCACAAAAUUUUUUUGAUACAUAAACAUGAUCGAAACGUAUUUAAAUAAAAAAAAAACCAUUGUCUUAGGAACAAAAAUGUUCAAAAUUUAUAAGUUAAAUGUGUGCAGCUCCAUUUCUAUAAUAAACCGAACAAUUUUAUGAAUAUCGCGCGUCUAAUUGUAAUACUAGUGCAUAUAGCUAGGUAGGUACCUGCAUUUUGUGAAUUUUAACAUGCUUGGAUAGAUUCUCAAUAAAAUCGUUAUACAUGUUUUGAUAA